rfam:Nomascus leucogenys chromosome 15, whole genome shotgun sequence.
AUCGCUUCUCGGCCUUUUGGCUAAGAUCAAGUGUAGAAGUUCAAAUUACUUUCAAAUGCUUCCAAAUUACCCUCUUUCUGAAGAAUAUUAGGAAAACAAUGAGAAAAAUGGUCUUACCUUUCGAACAAUACUGUCUUCCACAUUUGAUUUUUUAUUGCUGCCCUGUU